rnacentral:lncRNA from 1 species
CCUGAAGAAGCCCCACAAGUCCAGAAAAGACCCACACAACACUCCCCGGAGCAAACCAAGUUCUUUGACUUUGCAGACGAGAAAGAAAAGGACACUUCUGUCAAAAAUUGUGGCAGAGGUACUCCUCCCCGAGGAUGACAUUCACCAAUGUUGGUGUACCUUCGACAGAUGCAUUUGAAGAUGAGGAUGAAGCUGUUUGUUCCAGAACCAGCUGUGCAAGGUGUGCCGGUUCCACCCCACCAGGAAGGAAAGCUACCACAACUUGUUAAAGCUGUCAUCAAUCGAGGUGAGAAAGCAAACAAACCACAUUGGCUGAAGCUCUUAUAUAACCUUCUUUUACCUGUCAUUUUCACAACACAUUCAUCUCACAAGGCCCUGUAACCAUGUUUUGAAAUAGUUUUGCAAACUUGUAAUUCAAUACACAAUUGUAAAAGAUAUACAACACUAAUAAAAAGGCAGUUUGUACAUUUGUUUAAUUAUUUAUUUUAGGACAAUUCUGUAAAAAAAAAAAAAGAGAGAAUGUUUUCACAGUCCAUGUACA